AUUGAACGCUGGCGGCAGGCCUAACACAUGCAAGUCGAGCGGUAGAGAGGUGCUUGCAUCUCUUGAGAGCGGCGGACGGGUGAGUAAUGCCUAGGAAUCUGCCUAGUGGUGGGGGGAUAACGUUCGGAAACGGACGCUAAUACCGCAUACGUCCUACGGGAGAAAGCGGGGGAUCUUCGGACCUCGCGCCAUUAGAUGAGCCUAGGUCGGAUUAGCUAGUUGGUGAGGUAAUGGCUCACCAAGGCGACGAUCCGUAACUGGUCUGAGAGGAUGAUCAGUCACACUGGAACUGAGACACGGUCCAGACUCCUACGGGAGGCAGCAGUGGGGGAAUAUUGGACAAUGGGCGAAGACCUGAUCCAGCCAUGCCGCGUGUGU
rnacentral:rRNA from 1 species